rnacentral:lncRNA from 1 species
AUAAACCCACUGUGAACAGCUGAUUUUACAGAAAUAGUGUGCACAACAUCUAUGAUAACCCUAAUUCCUACAGGAAGAUUGAUUGAUUAUCUUAAUUUAUACACGUAUAUACAGCUGUAUGAUUAGUAAAUCUGAGUCAGGCUACUUAGACAGGGCGUACCGCGCCGACAAUUUAUCCUAUAGUUGAUCCAUGAGUACAGUACACCACAGAAACAUGAUGAAGAAGGGGUCAAAUAGUCUAAGAUUGGUGAAAGCCGGCAUUGAGAUCCCUAUGGAUAACUGCGAGUGAAGAGGAGCUCAGUGGGGGGACUUUGUUGCUUGUGAUGGAGAUCAAAUAGCUGUUGGAGCUUGUGGUUCAGGACAAGAUUGAUACUGCCUAGAUAGCUAUUUCACCGCAAUCCAGUGCUGUACUUUUGAGGGAUUCUACUUUGGAGGAUGUGAGAUUGCAUCCAGCAGUGAUUAUGGAGUUCCAGUUUCUUGUGUUGGGCUAAAUGGACAGAACCAUCUUGUAGAGUCUCUGUGCGGAUCAGGAGAAGGACUUGAUUGCAAUGGACAUAGCCAUGAAGCCAAAUGCUGUGUUGGGCAUGUUGAAGGAAAGGUUGUUGGUACUACUGGGUCUUGUGACUGGAAGUAUACAAGUGUUUGGAGUGAGGAAAUAUCUUGUGGAAGAGCCGAUGAAGCUGUCAUGGGAAUCUGUGGAUCUGGAGAAAACAAGGAUUGCCCUGGAGAAUCUGUUCAUGGAAUUUACUGCUGUGAGCUGGUGGAAAUUGCAUAAAGUUAUCAAAUCUAUUUCAA